CCGGGUUGCGGACAGUGUCUGGUGGGUAGUUUGACUGGGGCGGUCUCCUCCUAAAGAGUAACGGAGGAGCACGAAGGUUGGCUAAUCCUGGUCGGACAUCAGGAGGUUAGUGCAAUGGCAUAAGCCAGCUUGACUGCGAGCGUGACGGCGCGAGCAGGUGCGAAAGCAGGUCAUAGUGAUCCGGUGGUUCUGAAUGGAAGGGCCAUCGCUCAACGGAUAAAAGGUACUCCGGGGAUAACAGGCUGAUACCGCCCAAGAGUUCAUAUCGACGGCGGUGUUUGGCACCUCGAUGUCGGCUCAUCACAUCCUGGGGCUGAAGUAGGUCCCAAGGGUAUGGCUGUUCGCCAUUUAAAGUGGUACGCGAGCUGGGUUUAGAACGUCGUGAGACAGUUCGGUCCCUAUCUGCCGUGGGCGCUGGAGAACUGAGGGGGGCUGCUCCUAGUACGAGAGGACCGGAGUGGACGCAUCACUGGUGUUCGGGUUGUCAUGCCAAUGGCACUGCCCGGUAGCUAAAUGCGGAAGAGAUAAGUGCUGAAAGCAUCUAAGCACGAAACUUGCCCCGAGAUGAGUUCUCCCUGAGACUUUAGGUCUCCUGAAGGAACGUUGAAGACGACGACGUUGAUAGGCCGGGUGUGUAAGCGCAGCGAUGCGUUGAGCUAACCGGUACUAAUGAACCGUGAGGCUUAACCUUAC
rnacentral:rRNA from 3 species